rnacentral:rRNA from 1 species
AAAUGAAUAGACGGGGACCCGCACAAGCGGUGGAGCAUGUGGUUUAAUUCGACGAUACACGAAGAACCUUACCUGGACUUGACAUAGUAAGAAUGAUUUAGAGAUAGAUUAGUGUCUGCUUGCAGAAACUUGCAUACAGGUGCUGCACGGCUGUCGUCAGCUCGUGUCGUGAGAUGUUGGGUUAAGUCCCGCAACGAGCGCAACCCUCGUCCUUAGUUGCUAACAGUUCGGCUGAGAACUCUAAGGAGACUGCCUACGCAAGUAGGAGGAAGGUGAGGAUGACGUCAAGUCAUCAUGGCCCUUACGUCCAGGGCUACACACGUGCUACAAUGGGGUAUACAAAGAGCAGCAAUACGGUGACGUGGAGCAAAUCUCAAAAAUGCCUCCCAGUUCGGAUUGUAGUCUGCAACUCGACUACAUGAAGUUGGAAUCGCUAGUAAUCGUAGAUCAGCUAUGCUACGGUGAAUACGUUCCCGGGUCUUGUACACACCGCCCGU